CAUAAGUGGGCCGAGCGAGUCAUACCGUACUUCUAUUUUAUAGUGUGUUGAACCAUCUUGUUCGAACGCAUUCUUUAAUCCUAUCUAUCAUCUCCCGAGACAAAUAGUAAGACCCAUUACAGGAGAUUUCUUUACGAACGUACUUUGGUGACAGAUGAUAAACGUCUUGAAUGAGUAUCGGUAGCAGAGAAGUCUAGAUAGAAGAUGGCUGGAGUGGGAAGUGCGACACCUAAGCUGACACCAUGUUGAACGGGUGGUUUGAUGCCUUCAGAGACAAAGGAGGACCAACUUUCUACAGUGUCUCCAACAGAACUCCCGUUAUUCAAGAUAUUCACAGCAUCAUUAUUUAUAUCAGUUUUAUAACUCUUUUUGUCGCCUUUCUUAUUGUGUUCCCGGGAAUCAGAAAAGAGAAAUUUACCACAUUCAUCAGUGUUACAAUUAGUCUUUUUGUUGGAGCUGUUGUUCUUA